CAGCGCGGAGGGAGGCGCGAGCGGCCGGCCGGCCCGCGGGGAGCCAUGGCGAGAGGCCGCGCCGCGGCGCCCGCUCCCGAGCCCGCGUCCGCAGCAGCGCCCCCACCCGCCGCCCCGGGGCCCGCCCGGCCCGCGUCCCCGCGCGCCCCCCGCCCGUGACACUCGCGGGCCGGAGCCAGGCCCCCCCGGACACCCGGAGUUGGCGCGGGGGAGCUCGAGCGCAUCCCCGCGCCUCUCCAGCGCCCGACGACCCCGCGUGCCGGCGCCCGCGGCCCCGAGCCUCGGAGUGCCAGGUUGCCCAGCUAGCCGCGGCCGGAAGCGUCGCCCAGUCCCCGUGCCGCCCGGCCCGCUGCAGCGGAGGGACCCGGAGCGGCCGGGCGGUCCGGGCCGGGCUGUGGACGACGCAAAGAAGACGACAACGACAGCGGAGCGCCCGAGGCCCCGGGACCCUGCGCCGCCUGAGGAUUCCCUGUGCACGUGUACUGCCGCUGCUGCAGCACCAGAACCGGGGCCCACCUGCCCGACUGCCCCAGACUCCGGCAGUGGGGCCCCCGAUGGCAGUGGGCACCUCCCUCUGAAACCUGUCAAGCUGGACGCCACAGCUCUGCUCGACGACACUUCGGCCAGCUCCGUGACCCCUUUGGCAGCGUGUGACCAUGCAGUCCUAGCCUGCAGCCCGGGCAUCCCUGAAGAGCACUACGUGAGUGAGGCUGUGGAAGAUGCUCCCAGCUCCAGAGGGUACCGGGAUGCCUGCACCAUUACCGGUAUGGUCUGGCCCUUCCCUGCCAGGGAUGGGUGAAGACUGGGGAAGAGACCCAGCUGCAGGAGCCAGCCCACGGAAGGCUUAGGGGUCAUGGAGCUCCCAUUUAGAACCUGCUUUGCCAGCACUCAGAGUUGUCACAGAGGUCAAAGACAGUAAUGUUGUACACUGUGUAGCACACAUGGCCCGCUGUGCAUGCUCAGUGUGACUUGGCCUCUUUAUCUCUGAGACUCAGUUAGAUAGGUGUGGUAGAAGUGACAUCAGCGUUAUGGUGGGGUGGAGAACCGAGCACUGCAGGCAGCACUGGCUGUGCCUUUAGGACUUACAGCCAUCCCUUCCCAGGCACAGCUCCAAGGGUCCCAGGCCACUGGUGAUACCUCUAAAGUAGAUACUUUGUUCCAGAGCUCGUUUCUGUUACCCAUGGGAAUGUUGACAAAAGUCCUUGGAGCCAGCACCAGGAGGGGGCUGUGAAUGGUAACAUGGGAUGGCAGCUAUAACCUCACCAAGUGACGGCAUCACAGUUUUAUCCCACUGCGUUCAGAAAGAAGUUUGCUCUAGAUUUUAUUUUGUCCUUGAUUCUUGCUUUUGUCUUCCUAUUUGAAACAAUGCAGUAUGACACAUUAAUAUGCACCUUUGCAAUCAUUAAAAAUGACAAGCUAAUAACAGUAGCUUGUCAUUGCUUUUGAGAUAGGCACCAAGGACCUCCUGUGUGGCAGGAGUUUCCCUGCUUCAGAGGGGCCUAGAGAAGGCUGGAGUUCCAGCCUGGUGCCUUACUCUUCCUUGCUGCUGCCUUGUUUGCCUACAUGUGCUGUCCGCCCUGUGCACCAAGCCCUACUCCUGCUUUCCAGCUACCUGAAGAACAACCUCUGUGCCAGUACCCACUUCUUUCUGCUAUAUCGUGAGCUCCCUCACUCCUGAUGCAGAGGUGCUGUGGUGUGUCCCUUCUUAAAUAGAGUCUUCUUGGCCCCACGUUUCCCGCACCUCAGUUUCUAGACCCAAGUUUGUCUUCUCUUCCUCUCUCCCAAGUCCCCUGCAGGUG
rnacentral:lncRNA from 1 species